GACCUAAUAGCACAAUGGUUAGUGCCUCUGCCCAUCUUAGAAGUGUCGAAAUCUUCAGCAGAUGAUCCCUGUUCAACUCGGGGUCAGGUCA